rnacentral:lncRNA from 1 species
AAAAAAAUCCCGCGCCUCUGCUCCCAUGCGACUCCGCCUCCAGGGUACAGCGGGUGGAGAUUGCACGAGUAGCUCUCCCCGUGCAGCGCUACCUCCUCCCCAGCGGUCGUAGUGGAGACACCGCCUGAGCUCGCUGUAACUCGUCGGCGGUCACCGUCCCAUCUCCCGUUGCAACUUUUUCGGAUGCAGCUCCACCCGCUAGCCGGUUCCAGCUCAGCCAAAUGCAGCAAUUGUACACAUCGGCCGACGGGACAAAACAAGUUGAAUGGCAACUCCUUCGCCGUUGGUCACCAUGUCCAGCUCGCUGCCGUCGACUUGUAUCACCGUGCUACAUCAAACAAAAUUUUCAGUAAAUGGUUGAAGCAAAAAUAGAAGUCGGUUCCAGCAAAAUUUAACGCUGGAUCCAGCACAACAAAAUUCAGCAAUAAGAAGUCCAGUAGUUGUUGAAGCAAAAAAAUUAGCCAAUUCCAGCAAAACAUUAUGCCGCUUCCAGCAAAAUCACCGUCUCCGGCUUGCCGCCGUCGUCGGCUUGCACCACCGUGCUCCAGCAAACAAAAGUCCAAUAGAUGGAUGCAGCAAAAAAGAAGCCGGUUCCAGCAAAAAUUAACAUCGCAUCCAGCAAAACAAAAUUCAUCAACAAAAAUCAUCAUAGUCUAUGCAGCAAAUUCAGAUGCUAGUUCCAGAAAAAAUCAACAGAGGUUCCAGCAAAAAUUGAUGUGGCGAAAAAUCAUGAAGGAGACGGCGCCACCCUCCUCUAAAUUUGCAGCAAAAUCAAAAGAAGGUUCCGACAGAAAUAGAAGUGGUUCUAGCAAAAAUCAAACACAGGUUUCAGCAAAAAUUUGAUGUAGCAAAAAAAACAUGGCCGCGACGGCGCCCCAAUCUUCUCAAUUUGAUGCAGCAGCCAUGGCCGCUGGUUCCAGCACCGCAACCCACCGGUACCAGCUCAGCCAUGCCAUAGUUGCAGCAACGCGGGUCGGCGUCCGCGGGGGCGCAUCUCGUCGUCGAACUGGUCGGACAUGGCUGCAGGGUAACAACACGGGGAAAGAAAAGGAGAAGGAGCUUCAUGCAGUGGUGGUGGCGCUGGUGUUGUGGCUGCUGCCCCCGCCCCGCUGUGAGGAGGAGCGCAACAUCUGGUGGAUCUGAGAAAAAAGAAGAGGGAUAGGAGAAGCGGCGACCUCAACGAGAAGAAUGAAAACAAAUGAGUGGACACGCUGUGUGGUGGAGAUAAGGCAGCACCGAAGCGGUCCGCGUGGAGCCCGCAGCAGCAUGACGUGGCGCUAAUCCGGUGCGUAUGAUCACGACGGAUCCAGCGAUGCACGCGUGACCGACGCAACGCUUCCGCCGGUCCGCCGGAAGCCAACGUUUCCCAUGUAUAUACGACCGUCGUUUACCUUGGCUUGCCGAACAUGCCUUUUCUAUGAUUACUGCCGGUGUAGAUGAACAGUAUUGUUACUAUACGACGACCGUGUACCAUGUGGUUUCCAUAUUUCUAGGACGUUGAUAACCACCGAACGUUCGGUCUGGGGACCUCCCAGACCGAACGAGAGGUUCGGCACGAUAGGUUUCCUCAGACGAACGAUUUCGUUCGGGGGGAGAGGCCUCCCGGCCCGAACACUCCUUCCCGUCGCCUCCAUGGCCUCCCAGCCCGAACUCUCCUUCCUGUCGCCUACGGGCCCUUUUUAUGUAUAGAAAUAAAAAAGAGAAGAAAAGCCCAAAAGUGCACACAUCGAAAAAAGCCCUUUUUUGCUGUGACAAAUAAGCAUUGGUCUUUUGCACGACAAAAUUGCCAUGGGAUUUUGCCAAUAUGAAAAAAGUUGCCAUGUUCAAGUUUAUGUUUUCAAAUGGCGCAAAAAAGAAGUAAUGGCAAAUUUGAAUCUUUACGUGGUGGCAAAAAAAAUGUAAACACACACACAAAAAGUGUACCAUAUAUUGUUUGGGGAGAAAUUGCCAUGUUUCUUAAAAGUAAUUUACCGUGGUUCCAUGAAUGAUGAAAAAGUAAAAAAAAAUCCAUGGAUCAUAUGUAAAGCAAAAAAAUGCAAGGAAAUUAGAGUAAAUUGGCAUCGUCCCAUAAAAGUUAAUUUGGCAUGAAAAAAAUGCCACUAGCGAUUAUAUUGACAUGUAUGCAAAAGCUAAAGAUUGCAGUGGCAAUGUAGGUAAUUUUGCCAUGUGAAAAAGGUAAAAUUUGCCACGGAAGAAAAAGUAAAAAUCUCACAGAAAAAGGAGGUUAAAAAGAAAUUGACAUGGCAUUAUAAUUAAAUUUGCCAUGUCAAUAUAGUAAAAAUUGCCAUGGCAAAUUAAAAGAAAUUUUUUCCAUAUUUUUUUGUCAUUUAAAGGUACUAUAUUGCCGUGGUAACAUAGGUAAAUUUGCCAUGUCAAGAAGAAAAAAUUGCCAUGAAAAAAGUAAGUAAAAUUGUCACUAAAAACAACACUUGCCAUGGCAAAAAACAAUUUUUUUUAAUGAAGGAAAAAGUCAUUAAAAUUUUGCCAUCGUAAAUUUCUUUCUUUUAGAUAAAUACUUUUGCCAUGGCAAAAUCAUGCACAAAUUUUUAGAUAAAAUUUGCCAUGUUAUUUGGUGAAUUUGCCACGGCAAAUUCACUUUACGGCGCAUGGCAAGUUUGUUUCUUUUACAUAAUUUUUUUGGCCAUGGCAAUUUCACGCACAUUUUUUAGAUAAAGUUUACUAAAAGUUGCCAUAUUACUUGCAGAUUUUGCCAUGGCAAAAAGUGUUUUUAGAUUUUUGCCAUAUCGUGAAUACAAAACUCUUGCUAGAAAAUUAGAGUAAAUUGCCAUAGUCCCAUAAAAGUUAAUUUGGCAUGGAAAAAGUUGCCAUUAGAGAUUAUAUUGACAUGUAUGCAAAGGUUAAAAAUUGCCAUGGCAAAAAUUGCAAGCAAUAUGGCAACUUUUAAAAAAUCUCACAGAAAAAGAGUUUAAUUUUUUUCCCAUGCCAUUAUAAUUAAAUUUGACAUGUCAAUAUAGGAAAAAUUGCCAUGGCCAAAUUAAAAGACAAUUGUGCCAUCUUUUUCUUUUGCAUUUAAAGGCACUAUAUUGCCGUGGCAAUGUAGGUAAAUUUUCUAUGUUGAAAAGGUCAAAUUGCCAUGGAAAAAAUAAUAUUGGCACCAAAAAACAACACUUGCCAUGGCAAAGAACAUUUUUAAUGAGGAAGUAUUAAAAUUUGCCAUGGCAAAUACAUAUGAACAGUCCCGACUCCCAAAUGCCAUGGAGCUACCCAUGGCAAUAUAUAUUGUUUUAUUACCAUGGCAACGAAAAAACAUGAUUUAAAAUGUCAUGGCAACAAAAAUUGAAUCGGCAUGGCAACAUAUUUGUGAUGGCAACAGAAAAAUUGUCAUGUAUAUAAAGUAAACACAAAAAAUAUGAAACAUAAUUCGCCAUGGCAGAUGCAUGUGAAAAUAUUGCCAUGUUGUUCUCAUUAUACUUGUCAUGCUUUGUAUAAGAAAAAGGUGCCAUUAUAUGUAUCCGUAUACAAAAAAUUUGCAUGACCCAUAAACUAUAGAACUUAUAAAACUUAACCAUGGAAAAAAUUAUUCGAAUACAUAUGAAAAAACACACGAUGAAUAGGUUGCCGUCAUGGCAAACAUAUGCUUUAGUUGCCAUGGCAACAUCAUCUAUAAAACUUAACAAAAGUUCACAUGAUUUUGGUUGCCAUGGCAAAUAUGCUUUUCAAUCGCCAUGCGUUUACUAGUACAGUUACUCAAGAAACAAAAGUGAGAGUGUAAUUAUGAAAUUGUGAUGUGUCUAUACUCGGACAAAGACAUGGCAAUUUUGAAGGUUGAUGAACUGAAAAAAUGAACAGAAGGGGUGAGCAGGAUGCUACAUGCAGGUACAGGAUCAGAACACCUUGGCAGCUUGCAGAUACGGGAUGCUACCUGCAUGUAAAUGAAAUUGUGCGGUUCGAUGGUGCGGCUGAAGGCCUUGUAGUUCACCCCCGGAGCGCGCGCCUGGUGCUGGUCGUGGCGGCGAGCAGCACCUCGGUCACGUCCUCGUCACUGGCCUCGUUCACAUUCGAGCACUGCGCCUGGUGCUGGCCACAGUGGCGACGACCACGCGAAUAGAGGCAGACCCGACGCCGGCCACGUCGGCGUGGGCGAGCAGCCGCGCUCGGCGUCUGCCCAUGGCGGCACCUUGACCGGUUCAGGGACGAGCUUGUGGAGGAAGGGGUACCCUGGAGCGGGUCGGAGGCCGGAUGGUCAGCGUCGGCGAAGGUCUCGCGGAGGGGGACGGCCUCGACGCCCGCCGCGACGGCGCAAGUGAGCAGGCCGCGCUCGGCCCCCGCCCACGACCGCACCUCCAGCCGGUCGCGCGGACCAGAAAUCACGGCGGCAUGGGCUCACGCCAGUGAGGAGCACGCGUAGGGAUUCAACCCGCCGCCAGGGACCUGUCGUGCUCCUCCGCCCCGCCGAGGCCACACACGAGCUCCUCCGCCGCGGGGACGAGCUCCCCGCGCCGCUGGGGCAUCCACCGUACAAGCUCCUCCCGGCCGCGGCCACGCAAGAACUUCUCCGCCGGGGGCGUCCACCGCGCGAGCUCCUCCCGCCGCGGUCUCGAGCUCCUCCGCCGCGGGCACGACCUCAUCCGCACACCACCGAGGCCUCCAUCGCGCGAGCUCCUCCCCGCCGACGAGGCGUCCACCGCGCGAGCUCAUCCCCGCGCCGCCGAGGCGUCCACCGCGCGAGCUCCUCCCGCCGCGGUCUCCGGUGACACUUGCAGGGCAGCCACCCCACAGGAGCUCGUCUCCGCCGCUUGUGAUGUGAAGAAAGGGGAAAAAGUGAGCGUUGGCUGGGUGGGCGAGUGGAUAAGCCGAU